rnacentral:rRNA from 1 species
UACGAAGGUCCCGAGCGUUGUUCGGAAUCACUGGGCGUAAAGGGAGCGUAGGCGGCAUGGUAAGUCAGAUGUGAAAUCCCGGGGCUCAACCCCGGAACUGCAUCCGAUACUGCCUUGCUUGAGGGUUGGAGAGGUGACUGGAAUUCUCGGUGUAGCAGUGAAAUGCGUGGAUAUCGAGAGGAACACUCGUGGCGAAGGCGAGUCACUGGACAACAUCUGACGCUGAGGCUCGAAGGCUAGGGGAGCAAAAGGG